UUGUAUAUAUUGUUGUUGUUGUUGUUGUUUUCUGCUGCUGCUACCUGAACAUUUCACACUCUUGACAGGUUUUGUGACUGAGGAGGCAUGAUGUGAACUCAUUCAAUAAGAGCAAUAUGUUUGUCAGCAAUUUCUGCUUAGAGUCCUGCCCUGUUCUCCUUGAUUGCUCAGGCUGUUAACAUCAGAACGAAUAGGUCAGACUCGGGUGUGGUGCAGUUUGCAGAAUGGCCACCAGAGGGCAGGGCUUUCUUCAGAUGCGGUGCAGGUUUGGCUGAAGGGGCUGCUACUUGGCAGCCACAAGGCAUUUGCUUGCUCCUGGGCAGGAGGGCCUCUCCCUUUGCACAAGCUCUCGCUGGAUUUUAGCCUUGUUAGAUUCGGUGUAUUCCAGAGAGCAAGGACCAUUUUCUUUGGCUAACAUGCUUUCUGCCACUCACCCCGUUCUUGUGAUCUUCUUAAUCAUCGGAGGGUCCAACGGAGACUCAGUGAACCAAACUGAAGUCCCAGUGGUUCUUCCAGAGGAGGCACCUUUGACACUGAGCUGCACUUACCAGACCAUUUCUUCAGACCCCUAUCUUUUCUGGUAUGUCCAGUAUCCCAACAGAGCUCCUCAACUCCUCCUGAAGGGGUCAACUGCAAAACCAAGGGCAGAGGAGCAAGGUUUCCAGGCCACUCUGGUUAAGAGUGACAAGACCUUCCACCUGCAGAAACGCUCAGUGCAAACAUCAGACUCGGCUGUGUACUACUGUGCCGUGAGUGACACAGUGAGAGGGGCUGCAGGGGGAGCUGAGCACAAACCCAGAGGGCACAGGUGGGGACUGGCUGUGGGCUGCCCUGGGAGGGGGGUUCUUCUCUGUCUCUGCUCUGGCAUGCUGGAGGCAUCCUCAGGGUAGUUCCAGCUCUGAUGCUCAGAGCCAGGAUCCUUGGAAUUCUUGGAUUGCUGGUCAGAGAGGAAUCUAGGCCAGGGCAGUUUAAGAGGAACCUAAGAGCUCGUCUCAGAAAUGCCCUUUUUCUCAGCCCAGCCUCUUUC